rnacentral:rRNA from 1 species
AGAGUUUGAUCCUGGCUCAGAAUGAACGCUGGCGGCGUGCCUAAGACAUGCAAGUCGAACGAGAAAGCUCCUUCGGGCGUGAGUAGAGUGGCGCACGGGUGAGUAAUACCUAGGUAACGUACCCCCUCGCUGGGGAUAACUAAGGGAAACUUUAGCUAAUACCGAAUGACCCUGUCUUUUCCACGGAAAGGAUAGGGAAAGCCUUCGGGCGCGAGAGGAGCGGCUUAGGCCCGAUUAGUUUGAUGGUGGGGUAACGGCCUACCAUGGCUACGAUCGGUAGCUGGUCUGAGAGGAUGAUCAGCCACACUGGUACUGGAACACGGACCAGACUCCUACGGGAGGCAGCAGUUAGGAAUUUUGCGCAAUGGGGGAAACCCUGACGCAGCAACGCCGCGUGAGUGAAGAAGGCCUUCGGGUUGUAAAGCUCUUUUAUUAGGGAAGAAAAAAAUGACGGUACCUAAUGAAUAAGCACCGGCUAACUCCGUGCCAGCAGCCGCGGUAAUACGGAGGGUGCAAGCGUUAUUCGGAUUUACUGGGCGUAAAGCGCGCGUAGGCGGUUUGAUAAGUCUGAUGUGAAAUCCCACGACUUAAUCGUGGACGUGCAUUGGAUACUGUCAGACUAAAGUGCAAGAGAGGUAGGCGGAAUUCCAGGUGUAGAGGUGAAAUUCGUAGAUAUCUGGAGGAACAACAGAAGCGAAA